rnacentral:lncRNA from 1 species
GCUGUGUGAGAGUGCUCUGUGUGAUGGGCGUGAGAGUGCUGUGUGUGAGAGUGGUGUGUGAUGGGUGUGUGAGUGCUGUGAGUGAGUGCUGUGUGUGAUAGUGCUGUGUGUGAGAGUGCUGUGUGUGAUGGGUGUGAGUGCUGUGUGUGAUGGGUGUGAGUGAUGUGUGUGAGAGUGCUGUGUGUGAUGGGUGAGAGAGUGCUGUGUGUGAUGGGUGUGAGAGUGCUGUGUGUGAUGGGUGUGAGAGUGCUGUGUGUGAUGGGUG